rnacentral:rRNA from 1 species
UACAGAGGGGGCAAGCGUUGUUCGGAAUUACUGGGCGUAAAGGGCGCGUAGGCGGCCUGCUAAGUCGAACGUGAAAUCCCCGGGCUCAACCCGGGAACUGCGUCCGAUACUGGCAGGCUUGAAUCCGGGAGAGGGAUGCGGAAUUCCAGGUGUAGCGGUGAAAUGCGUAGAUAUCUGGAGGAACACCGGUGGCGAAGGCGGCUCACUGGCCCGAUACUGACGCUGAGGUGCGAAAGCGUGGGGAGCAAACAGG